AUUGAACGCUGGCGGAAUGCUUUACACAUGCAAGUCGAACGGCAGCACGGACUUCGGUCUGGUGGCGAGUGGCGAACGGGUGAGUAAUGUAUCGGAACGUUCCCAGUCGUGGGGGAUAACGUAGUGAAAAUUACGCUAAUACCGCAUACGGUCUAUGGAUGAAAGCGGGGGAUCGCAAGACCUCGCGCGAUUGGAGCGGCCGAUACCAGAUUAGGUAGUUGGUGGGGUAAAGGCCCACCAAGCCAACGAUCUGUAGCUGGUCUGAGAGGACGACCAGCCACACUGGAACUGAGACACGGUCCAGACUCCUACGGGAGGCAGCAGUGGGGAAUUUUGGACAAUGGGCGAAAGCCUGAUCCAGCCAUUCCGCGUGCAGGAUGAAGGCCCUCGGGUUGUAAACUGCUUUUGUACAGAACGAAAAGGUUUCUACUAAUACUAGGAGCUCAUGACGGUACUGUAAGAAUAAGCACCGGCUAACUACGUGCCAGCAGCCGCCGCGG
rnacentral:rRNA from 1 species